rnacentral:rRNA from 1 species
UUGACUGGGUUGUAGCUGGCCUUCCGAGGCAUGUGCACGCCCUACUCAUCCACUCUACACCUGUGCACUUACUGUGGGUUUCAGAUCGUGAAACGAGGGUCCCUAUUACCGGGGCUUUCGAGAAGCGGUUUGUGCCUGCGUUUACUACAAACACUAUAAAGUAUUAGAAUGUGUAUUGCGAUGUAACGCAUCUAUAUACAACUUUCAGCAACGGAUCUCUUGGCUCUCGCAUCGAUGAAGAACGCAGCGAAAUGCGAUAAGUAAUGUGAAUUGCAGAAUUCAGUGAAUCAUCGAAUCUUUGAACGCACCUUGCGCUCCUUGGUAUUCCGAGGAGCAUGCCUGUUUGAGUGUCAUGAAAUCUUCAACCUGCAAGCUUUUACCGGUUUGUAGGCUUGGACUUGGAGGUUUGUCGGCCCUUAGUUGGUCGGCUCCUCUCAAAUGCAUUAGCUUGAUUCCUUGUGGAUCGGCUCUCGGUGUGAUAAUUGUCUACGCCGCGACCGUGAAGCGUUUUUGGCGAGCUUCUAAACCCUGCGUCUCGUUAAAGAGGCUGCACUUACAUGACAUCUGACCUCAAAUCAGGUAGGACUACCCGCUGAACUUAAGCAUAUCAAUAAGCGGGAGAGGAUCAUUAUCGAGUCUU